AACGUAGGAGGCGAGCGUUAUCCGGAUUCACUGGGCGUAAAGCGCGUGCAGGCGGUUCGGUAAGUUGGGCGUGAAAUCUCCUGGCUUAACUAGGAGAGGUCGUCCAAUACUACCGGGCUAGAGAGUGGUAGAGGAAGAUGGAAUUCCCGGUGUAGUGGUGAAAUGCGUAGAUAUCGGGAGGAACACUAGUGGCGAAAGCGAUCUUCUGGACCAUUUCUGACGCUCAGACGCGAAAGCUAGGGUAGUAAACGGG
rnacentral:rRNA from 1 species